UACAGAGGUCCCAAGCGUUGUUCGGAUUCACUGGGCGUAAAGGGUGCGUAGGUGGUUGGGUAAGUCUGAUGUGAAAUCUCCGGGCUCAACCCGGAAAUGGCAUUGGAUACUAUCCAGCUGGAGGGUCGGAGGGGGGACUGGAAUUCUUGGUGUAGCAGUGAAAUGCGUAGAUAUCAAGAGGAACACCAGUGGCGAAGGCGAGUCCCUGGACGACUCCUGACAUUGAGGCACGAAAGCUAGGGGAGCAAACAGG
rnacentral:rRNA from 1 species